CUUUACCACUCUACAUUCUGAACACACUCAAUCAAACCUGAUGUUGGAGGCUAAGCAGGUCUGGGCAUGGUUAGUCCUUUGGGUAGUGUAGA
rnacentral:rRNA from 1 species